rnacentral:hammerhead_ribozyme from 1 species
GUACUGCUGAGGAGUUCUUUUAAUAGGACGAAACAACUGUCCAGUAC